AAAGAUUUGGUCCUAGUCUUACUGUUACUUUUUACUAAAAUUACACAUGCAAGUCUCCGCACUCCAGUGAGGAAUGCCCCAAUUACUACAUUGUAGUAAACCGAGCUGGUAUCAGGCGCACCAUAGUAGCCCAAAACACCUAGCUUUGCCACACCCACAAGGGAUUUCAGCAGUGAUAAACGUUAAGCUAUAAGCGAAAGCUUGACUUACUUACAGUAAAUCCAGGGCUGGUAAACCUUGUGCCAGCCACCGCGGUUACACCAGGCGCCCAAAAUAACAGUCAUCGGCGUAAAAUGUGGCUAGAGGUAUCCAAAAAACUUAAGGCAAACCCCUGACCUCUUCGUGAAACAAUUGUGUCUCGAGUAACCACAAUGUAGAACCAGCCUUAAUAAUAACCGAUUACUUGAACCCACGAUAGCUAAGGCACAAACUGGGAUUAGAUACCCCACUAUGCUUAGCCCUAAACCUAGAUAUCUACCUACAAAGAUAUCCGCCAGAGAACUACAAGCUAAAUGCUCAAAACUCAAAGGACUUGACGGUGCUUCAAACCCACCUAGAGGAGCCUGUUCUAUAAGCGAUAACCCACGAUAAACCUUACCAUCCCUUGCUCCCAGCCUAUAUACCGCCGUCUCCAGCUCACCUUAUGAAAGAAAAAAAGUAAGCUCAAUAGUCCAUACAACUAAAAAGUCAGGUCGAGGCGUAGCCAAUGAGAUGGAAGCAAUGGGCUACAUUUUCUAAAAAUAGAAAUAGUCACGGAGAGAAUCCUGAAAAAAGAUCUCAAAAGUAGAAUUUAGCAGUAAUUUUGGAAUAGUGAGCCAAAAUUAAACAGGAAAUGAAGCACGUACAUACCGCCCGUCACCCUCCUCAAAAACACUAACAAAUUAAAUAAAACCCCAUUUAAAAAGAGAGGAGACAAGUCGUAACAAGGUAAGUGUACCGGAAGGUGUACUUGGAAUAU
rnacentral:ncRNA from 1 species